AUUAAUCUCUGAGACAUACUAUUAUGCUUCUUAACCAAAGGGCUCAUAUUAUGAAGAGGAGUCCAACCCAUAUUAUCCAUCUGUGGCCUUGAGACAGUUGCUUCGUCAGCCUGAAUCCUGGAGUGGAAAUAUUGUGGAACCGUCACAGUCAACCCAGACUGGACAUGUAUAUGAGCAGGAAAGAAAUCUUUUUUGUUAUGAGCCAUUUGUAUCUAGGUAUUGUUCACUGCUGCAGCAAAACAAAUCAACAACAACAACAACAAAAUCCAUGAUAGAGUCAUAAAAUUAAAUUAGAUAAGGACAUAAAAGAGCUUUGUAAUUCAUGCAUCCCUAUAGGAAGUGAGGAAUAGGGCUGAUUAUCUUUUUUUCCCAGUUCCCAAGUCACAUCAUAAUGGACUCUCAGAUUGUGCUGUUGAGAUCCCAGUGAAUGCAAAAGAAAAACACUAAAUUCUCAACCAGAAGGGCUUUCUGACCCUGGUUCCAUCCUUGCCUGGCUUAGAGCUGUCCCCUCUUGAUCCCUAAAAUGAGGGAUUGUACUUGUGGUGAUUCCAAAGCCCCUUCCCACUUGGGUGUGAGGUGUUUUGCUCUCAUCACCCACUGUUUCCUGGGGGGGUUGAUCUCCUGGGUUUGGCUCAGACUCAGCUGCUGAAUCCGUGGCUUUCAGAGGCGUGUUGUUCUCUGAAGGGCAGCUGUGUCUGAAUAGCUAAGGGAUGUAAUCAAAGAGGCGGCAAACACUGCUUCAUGGAGAUAGAACUGUGUCAAAUAAAAGGAGUUAUUUCAGAAAGCUCAUCCCAGGAAAUGAGUGGAAUUGUCUGAGUCAGAAGGAGCUGCAGAAUGCCUGCCCCGGUGAUUGGGGUUUCUUUGAAGAACAAAGGGCUGUGGGAGAAGGGGCCAUGUGGGGUCUACCUCAAAGGAAGUGAACAAACAGCUUUGGAGCACUCAACCCAAGGGUCCCAGGAAACAUUUCAGCUCUGAUUCCAGUGACCUUUAUGACCUUGGGUGACUCAGCUUCUGGGAGCUGCCAUUUGAAAACUGGGACUCAAAACAGAUGGCCAUGGGACCACAGGAAUUCAGUGUGCUCCAAUGGCUCAUGCUAAGACAUCCCCCACUUCCAGAAGCCUGGGGAAGAGGAAUACGCAUGUUGUUUCCACUUCUCCCUCUUCUCUCCAAACAAGAGACUUACAUGAAUCAUAUAAUUUGGGAAAAAGUUCUUGCAGGUCUUCACCGAAUGGAAUUUGCUGUUUCUCUAAGAAGAGAGAAUUUUGAAACACCUUUAGCUAUCCAUUCCAAGAACCAGGCUCUUUAUUUCCUUAAUGCAUGGUAUUAAGGAUUUGAGAAGAUUAACCCUUACAUUUUUAAUUGUUCUCUCUCCCAAGCAUUUUCUGUCACUUUUCUGAAAAUAGUCCUCCAGCAAGUCCAGACUGUGGUAAAUUGGCUCAACUGCAGAUGUGCAACGUCAAUUUGAGUAGCAGGCCUGAUGAUCUCUUUCUCUUGGACCUCCUGCAAGGUACGGAGCCAAGUUUCAAAGAGGAGAAAAGGGUGCACUUUGAUCCAGUAUUUGCUCUUCGGGUCAGAAGGAUUCAACACCACAUCUGUAGGCUUAGGAAAUAGGGUGAUGCAGUUGCCUACUUCAAUAUCACUGUCACAGAUGCACACUAGUCGUGGUGCCCAGUUCCUGUAACACAUUUGCAUCUAUUAGUUAGGAUAUAAUUUCAGUACCUUUUGACCAAAAUAGAUAGAUAGAAGAUAGAAAUCAUUUUACUUUUUUUAGUAAAAGUUGAAACCUCUCUGGUAACCAGGAGUCACCAAUUUCUCAGGAGUCCUGGCUCUUUUCAUCCAACAUUCCCAACAUUCUUUGCAAGAAUUUUGCUACACACUACUUUAUUUCUAUUCCUGGCAUCAAGAAAGGGGUGAGAGAGACAGGAAGUACAUAUCUCACUCUUCUAAGGACACAGGCAAGGAGUACACUGUCUCCACUCACCUCUUAUUGUUAGGACCUCAUCACGUGAGCACAGCUGGGUGAAGAGGACAAAUAGACACAUGUGUUUAUUCUUGGAAGCUGUGUAGACGGGUCAACAUUAGAGUUGCUCUUACUAUAGGAAGAGAGAAUGGUUAGUGGUGCGUGGGUGAGAAGGGUUAGAGACUUCAGUACCAUUUGAAGUCAGGAACCAUUUGUGGAAGAUUUGAAAUUCUCAUUGAAUGUCCUUAUGGUCCAGAAUGUGGUUUUCUGAGAGCUGGGCAUUUGAUGGAGUCAGUAGGAACUAUUUCUCAGUUUUUUUUUUCUUUUUUGUAGGAUUUAAGCUGGUAUCGAUUUAAGCCAAACAAACUUUCUGAAGGUCUGGACCUUCACCAGACCUCAAAUCUGCUUGGGUCUUAGAAUCGCCAGCCUCUGAACUGUAAGGAAUAAAUUUUUGCUCUUUAUUAUCUACCCAGUUUGUGGCAUUUUGUUAUAGCACUCUAAAUAAACUACAAUGCUCUUGAAAAGCUGAAGUGUAAACCAGAAAAAGAGCCUAAUUUAGAAUGAGAAAAAUGACUAUUGAUUGGCACAGGCAGUUUGUGUUAACAGGAUCUUAGGGAAAGCUGGCAGAAAAGCCAAGAUAAUUGGAGAGUUGCUGCAUGAGUAUAAAGAGCAACAAAAGAAACAAGAAAUUCCUAACAUUCAACAAAAGUGGACCAAAAAGAAAGAAAAAUCCAAGUGAUUUUUGGUUUUAUAAUAUAGAGUUACAGGAUGUGGAGAAUAUUUAAAGAUUAUUUAAUUCAGCUUCCAUUUCUGAGUAAUUAGAAACAGAAAAUUCAAAGUGGGAAGUGACUUGCCAAGAAAAUUUCAUAGUUCAUCAGGGGCAGAACCAGGGCAAAAGCAAGACAAAAUGGUGCAGAAGAAACAGUUCCUCAUGUCUACUAACACAAGGAAAAGCCAGCCCCCCC